rnacentral:sRNA from 1 species
GUAGUGGCCUAAGGGGGAGGGUUUCAAAGGGAGCGCACUUCCGGUGCCCUUUCUUUCGCCAGCCUUACGGACCCGAACCCUCGUGUGAAGGGUGCAGUACCUAAUCCGGAGCGGGGUAGAGGCGGGCCGGCACCCCCUUCUGACCUCCGGUGCCGCCGGCCUCAAGAUCAGACAUGGCCCAGAACUUGAAGGACUUGGCGGGACGGCUGCCCGCCGGGCCCCGGGGCAUGGGCACGGCCCUGAAGCUGUUGCUGGGGGCCGGCGCCGUGGCCUACGGUGUGCGCGAAUCCGUGUUCACCGUGGAAGGCGGGCACAGAGCCAUCUUCUUCAAUCGGAUCGGUGGAGUGCAGCAGGACACUAUCCUGGCCGAGGGCCUUCACUUCAGGAUCCCUUGGUUCCAGUACCCCAUUAUCUAUGACAUUCGGGCCAGACCUCGAAAAAUCUCCUCCCCUACAGGCUCCAAAGACCUACAGAUGGUGAAUAUCUCCCUGCGAGUGUUGUCUCGACCGAAUGCUCAGGAGCUUCCUAGCAUGUACCAGCGCCUAGGGCUGGACUAUGAGGAACGAGUGUUGCCGUCCAUUGUCAACGAGGUGCUCAAGAGUGUGGUGGCCAAGUUCAAUGCCUCGCAGCUGAUCACCCAGCGGGCCCAGGUAUCCCUGUUGAUCCGCCGGGAGCUGACAGAGAGGGCCAAGGACUUCAGCCUCAUCCUGGAUGAUGUGGCCAUCACAGAGCUGAGCUUUAGCCGAGAGUACACAGCUGCUGUAGAAGCCAAACAAGUGGGUGAGUCGCAAGAGCUGUGGGGUGAGGGCUUCCGAGAUGCAGGAGGAGGAAAGACUCCAUGGGCGGGGCUCCUGACCCAGGACAGGGUCUCCCUGACUCUCUCCCACCACAGCCCAGCAGGAGGCCCAGCGGGCCCAAUUCUUGGUAGAAAAAGCAAAGCAGGAACAGCGGCAGAAGAUUGUGCAGGCUGAGGGUGAGGCCGAGGCUGCCAAGAUGCUUGGAGAAGCACUGAGCAAGAACCCUGGCUACAUCAAACUUCGCAAGAUUCGAGCAGCCCAGAAUAUCUCCAAGACGAUCGCCACAUCACAGAAUCGUAUCUAUCUCACGGCUGACAACCUUGUGCUGAACCUACAGGAUGAAAGUUUCACCAGAGGAAGUGACAGCCUCAUCAAGGGUAAGAAAUGAGCCUAGUCACCAAGAACUCCACCCCCAGAGGAAGUGGAUCUGCUUCUCCAGUUUUUGAGGAGCCAGCCAGGGGUCCAGCACAGCCCUACCCCGCCCCAAUAUCAUGCGAUGGUCCCCCACACUGGUUCCCUGAACCCCUCUUGGAUUAAGGAAGACUGAAGACUAGCCCCUUUUCUGGGGAAUUACUUUCCUCCUCCCUGUGUUAACUGGGGCUGUUGGGACAGUGCGUGAUUUCUCAGUGAUUUCCUACAGUGUUGUUCCCUCCCUCAAGGCUGGGAGGAGAUAACCACCAACCCAGGAAUUCUCAAUAAAUUUUUAUUACUUAACCCGAA